rnacentral:rRNA from 1 species
UACGUAGGAUGCUAGCGUUGUCCGGAUUUACUGGGCGUAAAGCGUGCGCAGGCGGUUCGUUGUGUCGGCGGUGAAAGCCCCGGGCUUAACCUGGGAAUGGCCGUCGAAACUGGCGAACUGGAGUGUGGCAGAGGGGGGUGGAAUUCCGCGUGUAGCAGUGAAAUGCGUAGAGAUGCGGAGGAACACCGAUGGCGAAGGCAGCCCCCUGAGCUGACACUGACGCUCAGGCACGAAAGCGUGGGGAGCAAACAGG